rnacentral:rRNA from 1 species
UACGUAGGGCGCAAGCGUUGUCCGGAAUUAUUGGGCGUAAAGAGCUCGUAGGCGGUUUGUCGCGUCGGAUGUGAAAGCCCGGGGCUUAACCCCGGGUCUGCAUUCGAUACGGGCAGACUAGAGUGUGGUAGGGGAGAUCGGAAUUCCUGGUGUAGCGGUGAAAUGCGCAGAUAUCAGGAGGAACACCGGUGGCGAAGGCGGAUCUCUGGGCCAUUACUGACGCUGAGGAGCGAAAGCGUGGGGAGCGAACAGG